rnacentral:tmRNA from 1 species
GGGGCCGAUAUGGAUUCGAUCGGACGUGUAAGGCAUGGUGUGGCGCGUCGAGAGGUGUGCUCUCCUCGUAACCGGCACACAAAACCAACAACUGCCGAACCGCAGUACGCACUGGCUGCUUAAUCACAGCCCGUCCCCCUCUCGACGCCCGAUAGGGAUGGGGGACGACGACAUCGGGCUGGUCAACGCGUGGCGCUUCCGGGCGUGUUGGCGAGGAGGUUCACCGGUGGCUGGGCCGAAGGUGAGGGCGUCGGCGCCCGCGCACAGGCCGAGACCAAAUCGCCGACUACACGCGUAGAGGCGCCAUGGCUGCCGUUCCGACACGGGGGUUCGAUUCCCCCCGGCUCCACUU